GGCCUGGUGGUGUACUGGUAACAUGCCUGUUAUGUCCAUCAGCGUCUCGGCCCUGGUUACAGCAGGAGUUCCUUGUUCGACUCAAGGUCAGGCCA